GAAAACAAAGAUAGGCUGGACAAGAGUGAGAUAAGGCUGUCAAAAUCUGCGUUGUCUUUGAAUAUGGAUUUGAUUAAGCAGUUAGAUAGCAAAGCGGCCAGACAAGGAAAGAAAGCUGAUACAUUCUCCCUUAUUCGCUCCACUCAAGCACCCUCUUUGUUACAGCUGAAAGAUGUUGUAUUGUCCAGUGCAGUUGAUCUGCGAG
rnacentral:misc_RNA from 1 species